rnacentral:rRNA from 1 species
AGCAGCCGCGGUAAUUCCAGCUCCAAUAGCGUAUAUUAAAGUUGCUGCAGUUAAAAAGCUCGUAGUUGAAUUUCGGGACCAUCAUGUCGGUCGUGCCUCGGUACGUACUGGCAUUGUUGGUUUCUCCCUUCUGACGAACCUUGAUGUCAUUAAUUUGGUGUCUUGGGGAAUCAGGACUGUUACUUUGAAAAAUUAGAGUGUUUAAAGCAGGCUCACGCUUGAAUACAUUAGCAUGGAAUAAUGAAAUAGGAUGUUUGAUUCUAUUUUGUUGGUUUCUAGGAUCGACGUAAUGAUUAAUAGGGAUAGUUGGGGGCAUUAGUAUUCAAUUGUCAGAGGUGAAAUUCUUGGAUUUAUUGAAG